AUUGAACGCUGGCGGCAGGCCUAACACAUGCAAGUCGAGCGGGGUUUUCGGACCUAGCGGCGGACGGGUGAGUAAUGCGUAGGAAGCUACCCGAUAGAGGGGGAUACCAGUUGGAAACGACUGUUAAUACCGCAUAAUGUCUACGGACCAAAGUGUGGGACCUUCGGGCCACAUGCUAUCGGAUGCGCCUACGUGGGAUUAGCUAGUUGGUGGGGUAAUGGCUCACCAUGGCGACGACCCCUAGCUGGUUUGAGAGGAUGAUCAGCCACACUGGAACUGAGACACGGUCCAGACUCCUACGGGAGGCAGCAGUGGGGAAUAUUGGACAAUGGGCGCAAGCCUGAUCCAGCCAUGCCGCGUGUGUGAAGAAGGCCUUCGGGUUGUAAAGCACUUUCAGUAGGGAGGAAGGGUGUUGUGUUAAUAGCACAGCAUUUUGACGUUACCUACAGAAGAAGCACCGGCUAACUCUGUGCCAGCCGCCGCCGUAAGAC
rnacentral:rRNA from 1 species